UACGUAGGGUGCAAGCGUUAAUCGGAAUUACUGGGCGUAAAGCGUGCGCAGGCGGCUUUGCAAGACAGAUGUGAAAUCCCCGGGCUUAACCUGGGAACUGCAUUUGUGACUGCAUGGCUGGAGUGCGGCAGAGGGGGAUGGAAUUCCGCGUGUAGCAGUGAAAUGCGUAGAUAUGCGGAGGAACACCGAUGGCGAAGGCGAUCCCCUGGGCCUGCACUGACGCUCAUGCACGAAAGCGUGGGGAGCAAACAGG
rnacentral:rRNA from 1 species